AUUGACGAUUGAAAAAAGACAAUUUUCUGAUAAAUAGCUACCGUAUUUACAUGAAGUGAAAUACAUGCAUAUGUCGUACUAAAAAUAAAGUUUACUGUAUCCUCCCUCCUCCUGAAGGACUUGAAAUGGACCAUAACCAAACCACUUCGUAUGUAGAGAUGCAUACGUAACGUGUACAUUAGAUCAGACGAGAAAAAUAUAGACAUUUAAUUCAUAUUUUCUUUACAAAUUACGUACGUGAAAAAUUAAUAAUUGACACUUGUAGCUUGUCAAAAUGGCACUAAUUAAUUCCUAUAGUGCGAAGAGUCUGGAUAAAAAUGAAAUUUGGGAGAAGUCUUUGAAAACUAAAAUCGUUCGAGUUUUGUCCACCAUUCAAAUUGCUUUGACUGUCGUCACUUCCGGAAUUGUCAUAUUUUUAAUGACAACGGAGUUCGCACGAUCAUGGUCCCCCACAGAAUCAACAAUUGGAUUGGUUUUCACAAUUUUACCAGCAGUCUCGGCCAUCUCAACAUUUAUUACUGCGACAAGAAAGUCCUUCUUGACGUACAUUGGUUUCUCCAGAAUGGCACAUGCAUCCGUUCCACAAAAAUUUGAAGACGUCCUCGAAUGUACAAUCUGCUUGGACGUGCCUGCAUCGCCAAUUCACCAUUGCGUCAAUGGGCACAUUGUUUGUGGAAUUUGUGUCGAGAAAAUUGAAACAUGUGGGAUCUGUAAGGAUCCCAAUUUCCAGGUUUCAAUCUUGGCUGAGAGACUUUCGCGACAGCUUGACUUUAAACUCAAGUGCCCAAACUUUGAUGCCGGGUGUAAGGAAUUAAUUUCUGCUACUGAAAUUAAAAAACAUAAGGACACCUGUUACUACCGGGAUGUUUCUUGUGAUGAAUGGAAAGUAACGAGGUGUACCGGAAAAAAGAUUGCCAUGAAAGACUAUAUUAAACAUUUGGAAGAGCAACACAACAACAAAACUAUAUCCAAUCCUUAACUACACUUUAAACAUAUUCAAAGACCGGGCUAACUUGAACGUAACCUAACCCAGGUAAUAGACAAUGGCUAGCGUAUAUCAUUAAAAAGGAGGACCACACUUUUCUAGUGCAUACAAAAAUAGUUCUGGACUUGUCAAUGUGCGCCUGGGUGACCAUAAUGGGAAGUGAGAAAGAAGCAAAGAAGUACAAUUAUGAGUAUAAAGUAUUUAAGACAAUUGAAGAAGGGCGCAAGAUCGAGCUCGCGUGGACAUUGCCCGUCGUUGCUUUUCACGAUCGGCCAAAAUACAUCGAAGGGUUGCCAUACUAUGUAAACAUUCCAAUGAACAAGUUGUUGGAAUUUUGCAAUCCAAAUGAUCAUGAAACAUAUAAGUACAAGUUUACGUGGUCUUGUACAAUAUUAAAAAACAUUUGAGGGCACUAUUGAGAACGUAUCUACAUGUACACAGAUACAUACUAUGUAUGUGCUUUCUCGACAUUUUGAUAAAAUUAUAAUACAAUGAAAAUAAUAAACGAAGUUACAAAUUAAUUGUUUCUCAC